GUCCCCUUCGUCUAGAGGCCUAGGACAUUACCCUUUCACGGUAAAUACGGGGGUUCGAAUCCCCCAGGGGACGCCA
rnacentral:tRNA from 1 species